GAUGAACGCUGGCGGCGUGCCUAAUACAUGCAAGUCGAGCGAACGGACGAGAAGCUUGCUUUUCUGAUGUUAGCGGCGGACGGGUGAGUAACACGUGGAUAACCUACCUAUAAGACUGGGAUAACUUCGGGAAACCGGAGCUAAUACCGGAUAAUAUUUUGAACCGCAUGGUUCAAAAGUGAAAGACGGUCUUGCUGUCACUUAUAGAUGGAUCCGCGCUGCAUUAGCUAGUUGGUAAGGUAACGGCUUACCAAGGCAACGAUGCAUAGCCGACCUGAGAGGGUGAUCGGCCACACUGGAACUGAGACACGGUCCAGACUCCUACGGGAGGCAGCAGUAGGGAAUCUUCCGCAAUGGGCGAAAGCCUGACGGAGCAACGCCGCGUGAGUGAUGAAGGUCUUCAGAUCGUAAAACUCUGUUAUUAGGGAAGAACAUAUGUGUAAGUAACUGUGCACAUCUUGACGGUACCUAAUCAGAAAGCCACGGCUAACUACGUG
rnacentral:rRNA from 1 species